rnacentral:tRNA from 1 species
GGAAAUAGCUCAGUGGUAGAGCACAUGCUUAGCAUGCACCAGGUCUUGGGUUCAAUCCCCAGUAGCUCCA